rnacentral:ncRNA from 2 species
AACCGCCGUGUACGGAACCGUACGCACGGUGGUGUGAGAGGACGGCGGGUGUGAACCCGCCUCCUACUCGAU